GAUCACCCUCGCGCCCGACAGAGUCGCUGUAAUGAAUGCUCGGGAAGUUAUGGAGAGAAAGGAGACGAUCCCAGUGAUUAAUGCCAAAGCCCUGUUGCCUGGGGAGAGGGUGAUGUUUGACUUUCUUGUACAGCUGCAGUUUGUGUGGUGAAGGUGCUCCCACAAUGUGGUUGGAUCCCAGUGAUUAAUGCCAAAGCCCCAUUGCCUGUGGAGAGGGUGAUGUUUGACUUCCUUGUACAGCUGCAGUUUGUGUGGUGAAGGUGCUCCCACAAUGUGG